AUUUUUGUUAUUAAUCAUAUUUUACGCUUACUAUUAUAAAUGGCAUUUUACUUUAAUUUUUAAAAUUUUUGUUCCAAUUUAAUUUAAUAUAAAUGAUAGAAUUUUUAUGAUUAGAUUUAAAUCAUUUUCUAUUUUGAUCUAGUAUGGUGGAUAUCAUGUAUUACUUAUCCUUAUUAUCAAUAUUAUUCUAUCAAGUAACUUUAAAAGAAGGGACUGAAACAUAACCUAGAAAGUAUUACAUGAAUAUGAAAUAGAAAGUAUAUAUAAAAAGCUAUAUCUAUGAUGUUCUCCACUUUCUUAUCUCUGCGUAAGACAUGAUAAAAUGAGGUAUAAAAACAUGAAAUGAAUUGUUAAAAAUUCAUGUAUAGUUAGUGGAAAUAAUUAGAUGAAUGUACAAAUAUCAAAUGUAAUUAGGAAGAUAAUAAAAUGGAGCAAAAUGUGAUGAUAAUAAAUACUCAAAAUGGACAAAUAAGAAGAAAAGAAGUGAAACCUUGGUUCAAUGAACAAAAUGUAUACAUAACUCAAGGUCUACCAUUAUCCCAUCUGUUAUCUUAUAACAAAUAUCAAACCAACAUAGGUAAGCAAUGAACAAAUAAACUUUGCAUUAUAUAAAUUAAUUUUAGUUUACUUUAUUCAAGAUCUUUAUUAUUUCAGGUCUAGAAAAUUUUUUAGAUAAUACAUCUACAAAUAUUCAGUGGUGAAAGGAUACAUCUAUUAUGGGUUUAAUUCCAAUACCUGUUUAUCAACAUGAUGCUAUACCUUCAACGAAUAACUCAUUCAGAAGUAGUAAAUAGCAAUAUUUAUUGUGCAUAUCAUUUUUUUAUGCAAUGACUUUAUGAACUCCUACUUCUGUUACCCUAUUAGAUCUACCACUAAACGUUGAAUUAUUCAACUCAUUAGGACAAACAGAAUUAAAUGUAGAGGAGUAUGUACUGUCUAAAGAGGUGAAACAAUCGAGAACUGUAAAAGAAUAUAAGAAAAACUAUAAAACGUACAAAACAUCCUGAGCUAUGGAAAAUGAAUAUAAAAAAAAUGCUAGACUAAGAAGCAAAGAAUAUAUUGGAGUUGGAGGGAAAAUAGUACCAGCAAAAACCAUGGGACCUUCUUGAAAAUGCUGCAUGUGUUGCGCUGACAAAAUAAACGAAGCUGCUCGGAGUUAUAGCAGAAGUUAUAGUUAAUAACAACAACAAAGUUGAAGUCAACAACAACAGAGUCGAAAUAUACUUAUAUAAUAUAACGGAUGCCUAGUGGAGUUACGGAACCAGACCAAAGAGGACAACUUACAUCAAAAACAAAAAAAAGGGAACAGAAAAAUCAACAGGUACGAUGGAUUAUACAGGAAAGAAGUAUCUAGAUUCUAAGCUAAGUAUAGCUGCUAUGCAUAAACUUUAUGUACUAAAGUG